rnacentral:rRNA from 1 species
AUUGAACGCUGGCGGCAUGCCUAACACAUGCAAGUCGAACGGCAGCACAGUGGUAGCAAUACCAUGGGUGGCGAGUGGCGGACGGGUGAGUAAUGCAUCGGGACCUACCUGAACGUGGGGGAUAACGUAGGGAAACUUACGCUAAUACCGCAUACGUCCUACGGGAGGAAGCGGGGGACCUUCGGGCCUCGCGCGGUCAGACGGACCGAUGUUCGAUUAGCUAGUUGGUAGGUAAUGGCCUACCAAGGCGACGAUCGAUAGCUGGUCUGAGAGGAUGAUCAGCCACACUGGAACUGAGACACGGGUCCAGACUCCUACGGGAGGCAGCAGUGGGGAAUAUUGGACAAUGGGCGCAAGCCUGAUCCAGCAAUGCCGCGUGUGUGAAGAAGGCCUUCGGGUUGUAAAGCACUUUUAUCGGGAGCGAAAUACCAUC